rnacentral:tRNA from 1 species
UUAAUUGAAGCCAAAAAUGAGGCAACUUAUUGUUAAUAAGUAUAUUGAAUUUGAUUCCAAUUAAA